UGUGCACGGUUCAGUUGCGUAAGCUUUGACGUUUAGACUGGGAAGUUCUUCUCCAUUGUAUUUAAUGUUCUUGGUAUUGUUUAGGAUCUCCUGAUGCUCUGAUCUGGGCCUGCUCUUCAUGGUAGUUAUGAUCUUCACUUUUUUCCAAACAAUGUUAGCAGUCUUUGAAAUGUGGCAGCCGAAGUUGAAUUGUAGAAAGAAGGCCGAGAACAAAGUUGACACAAGGUGAUAAACAGUUGCAAGAAAAUGCGAAUCCUUUGAAAUUAAAUGGAUUUCUGCAUGAGUUAUUCCUAAGAGUACUAUUAUGGAACAAUAGACUGUAGCAGUGCUACUACUAGUUAAAACUGCAUCUCCCAGCAGUCCCUGCAGGGGCUGUUGGAGGUCGAAGGUGGCCAGAGGGGUUUAAAAGAAGGGCAGGUGUCCGAAAGGUGAGGCGUGUUUUUUUGUUGUUGUAUUUAGUGUUUCGUUUACCUGUCGGACUGCCUUCUGUUACUUACGCCAUAUUUAGUCGCUGUGUCCUGGAUUGUAUUCGUUGUUGGGGUCUGGGUCGUCUUCUGUCUACCAGUGUGCUGAGGACUGAUUGUGGAUUCAUGGCUUUCCCGCAAAUAUAGGAGCGCUCUGAACGUCCUCCCAUCUGUCCUCACCCUUACAGUGUCUACCGGCUAUGAUCCACACCAGGUCAGCAGACGGUCCUGUGUUUAGUGGUCAAGGAUGCGAAGGUUACCAGAGACGAUCUUGUUCUCCAGCACCGCUCCUGCCGGGAUGUCAAUUCUGUCACCGUGGUUGGCAAUGAUGAUGACAGUGCCCUGGAAAGAGAAAAAAAAUAAAAGCACAGGGGGGUUCGUGUUGUGUCAGCAGUGGCGCCAAACAUCUGCCCUGUGACAGACUCAUGUCCAGUCCUAGGACUGGCUUCUACCAGGACGGGUCCCAGUUGCCAUAAUGGGAGUUCACAAAAUGGAUGGAUCUGUUAAUAUAUUCUUGGUUUUUUAUUAAAUAUGCGAGUUAUAAAAAAUCCUGUUGCUUAAAAAAUAUUAAGGCAUUUCACAAAGAAAAAGUCACGCGAGAGGUGUCUGCCAGCGGCUCGGAUUCAGAGUGACCUCGGUGGGCUCUCUGCACUCAUCACACUCUUGAUGGGCCACCGCUUAGCGCGACUUCUUGCCUGCCAUAGUUCUGAAAAACAUUAAUUACACAGAAGACCCUCGUCUUACACAAAGAAUACGUCCCAUGGCACUGCAAGUGCGGGAAGGUGACAUUUAGUGAACGUCCCAGGACAGCGUUACCAGUCAGGAACAGCUACACUGGUUUGGCCUGUAAAUCUGCCUACGUGACAAUGGCUUCAAAUAGAAAUGGAUGUCACCAAUACAGACGUACUUGAUGGGUGUGCCGGGCUCACAGCCCGAGGCUACAGCGUUCUGAAUGAGUCCGACAUGGCCGGAGUUACAAUAAAAGUGUCGUUUUACAAAAACCCUAAGUGAGCCAGAUGUGAACUGCAUGUGGAGUGAUGGAGCAAGUCUAGUCGUAUUUUAGAUUAGACAUUCUUAAAGAGCAUUUAGUGGAUUGUGGAAGGCGAGUUUUCUGAAAUGGUAGACGGUGGCAGAGGCUCUAGGCCCCUACGGACACACUGCCUAUACGGAGAGUUCAGCCCUUGGAAGUUUUCACUUUUUAUUCUUGUACAUCACUGAGUGCUUCUAACUUGGCUUUUUAAAAACUGAACAACAGAAGAAGACUUUUUGAUGUCAAACUAGAAAAGUGGCCCAACUGAAUUAAAAAUAUGAAAUACAAAACUAAGUGAUCGCCAUAGUAGAGGGCCACCAUGACAGCCCUGUAUGCACAGGUCUCGAUCAACUUUGCACAUCUGGACACUGCAUGCGUCUUCCAAAGCUCUCAAUCUCUGCGACAUGUCGUACUGACCGGGAGUCGAGGGCCUCUUUCAGGUCCAGCUGCCCACUCUCAACUAGACGGAGAUCUACUCCAGCCCUUCAGUAACACUGUGGCCUUGAACUCCUGGACUGCCUUACAUCCCAAUACUGAUAACACGAAAAGUUAAACUGAUGGGCACUUUUUUACAGCAACGCCUAUAAACUAAUCAAUCACAUCAGUAUUUAGUAGAUGGACCUCUGGUCACCAUGACAGCCUUACAUCUGUGUAGACACCAAUGGCGAGUGAAAUACGCUUUGUAAAGUACAAUAAAAUGGACGACUGCCUUCAGCAGCGUUCCCCAAUCUGUUUUUCGUGGUGGGACACCACUCUCUUACUAACCCCAAGUGUCUGAAGGGGCGAGACUCCCACAGAAGCCAGUAAAACAGCAGCUCCGAGAUCACUGCUCACAGACACGACACUUGGUGAGCACUUUGGUGGCAUCUCUCAACUGCAUUGAUCCUUUGCCCUCUCCUCUUUGGCUAAGGGGCAACUUGUAUGCCCACUAACCACUGGCCCUGUGAGACUUGCUGGUAACCACACAGCCUGGCAGAUGGACUCUAGUAGCCUGGAGAUGCGUCUAAAGAGCUCCAUGUGUGCAACCGAGCGAUCACGGAGAUGCUUUUAUGCCACCUUCUCCUGGUAGUCUGGUAGUCCUGUCUUCCUCAGACAGGUCACCAUCACCUACCGAGCUUGUCCCACUCAGGUUCAGACCCAGGUAAGCUACGCUAUUAUUUCCAUGGCACAACUGGGUGGUUCUCAUGGCACACUACUUGAAAAACUGGGGUCUUCAAGUAAUUGUAUUAAAUAUUGUACAAAACAGUUCUACAGUACAAUAUCUUAGGAACAGAAAUAAAUGUCCAGUUUUCCAUCUUGCCCACGCUUAUUCUGCAUUCCCUGGUAGCUGUGGACAGCACUGUAGCCGCCAACACGGUCUGUAAAUCUUGGGCUUUCACACUGGAUACUUGUGAGCCACCAGAAAACACGACAUUCUCAGUCGUUCUUAGUCUACUUCAGGGACACUGGGCGCGAUGUGCACUUGAAGCCUUGUGAAGACAGAAUCAUGGGAAACAGCAGGCUACGUGGCAAAUGUGCAGACAACUUCAGCAAUGAAUGGCAGGCAAUCACCUUAACUCAAUGUUUCAUAACCUGAGUAAAUCAGAAUGCUCCACAAACUUGAGAGAAGCUUAGCUGCAUGUUAAGAAAGGUACAGACAGGCAGCGGUGGUACACCCGAGUUCUACAGGAUCGUGGCUAAGCUGUAAAGUGUUACUCAAUGGUAAAAUUAAAAAGAAAUGCGGCCAUCUUCACCAAUUAAAGAGAGGUGGGUCCUCCAGGGCCAAUGCUGUGUUCAACAAGAGCGGGCACACCAGUGUGAGCAACAAGCAACCAUCGGCAUUUAUGACAAAUUAGUUGCUCAUACUUGUUGUUACCACACUUAAUGCCUUACAGACUUUUUUUGUAUUUCUAAUCUCUUUUAAGUAUAUCUGUAUGCAGAGUAUGAGGGAGAGAAAAGCCAGCAGACAUAUUUGAGUAACGUGUGGUCACCUGUAUGGUGCGUGAGUUGCUGUCACAAUGCAAGCAUUACGAGCCUCUCCGGUAUUUCAAGUAAGACGGGACAUGCUGGUCACACAGAUUGAGGCCGAUCGCCUCCUUUUGCACAUUCAAGCCAAUUGUGGUUUUGUGAAGUAAUAAGUUAUGUUGAAGCACAGUUUCUGUGUAUACCACACCUAUCGAGUAUUACUACAUCGUCAAAGCCAAAAUAUUAACGUUUUCGUAUGUUAAUUGAAGAUCUAAACAGUCUAAUAAUUACCAGCAGGUAUCCCUGAAUGUGCUUUCUGCAAGUUGACUACUGAAUAUUUUUAGAAUGCCUAAGACACACAGAAUUGACCUCUGGCGAUGUCACAAACAGCACCACGUCGAACAAGGCCUUUAGAUAAGCUCUUAGUACCUUAAGACCAACAUUCUUCCCAAAAGUUACAUCCCCUGAAACAGUGAGGUGAUCCAGUUCAAGCAUGUCAGGUAUGCUCUCCAGCCGUCGCAAAUAAUCCUGGACCUACAGAGGCAAAACGAAGGGUGAUGGUUAGCAAGGAAAGCCCAUUGAAGGAAAGAAAACCAGCAUCCACGUCAGGACCCACAUUCGAUACCCACAUCUGCCUAAUUAGGCUUAGAUUUUAUUCUUAAUAAAAAUACAUUCUUCUGACAUAUUGCUAAUACAAACAAUUGACAUUGCACAGGUAGUAUAUUACGAUAGCUUUUUCUCCUUGCCCAAUAUUUUAAUUAUAGCAUAAGAACACCAAGUUUCGGUCUCCUGUUUUCUUUCCUAUCAACUUGGCUCUGGCAUCUCUGGAUGUGCUCUGAUGUCAGAAAAAAAAAAAAAUGCACAGCAGGUGUGUAUCAGCACUGUCUCACUUUUUAAUAUUUUAAUACGCAAAUGAAGACGACAUUUUUAAUGUCAAAUAUUAUAUUUUGCCAUAGAUCACGUUGUAAGCCGUUCUUUAGUCCAUUUAUUUAGUCCACCUUGAAUCACCUGGUUGAACAAUGGUGCCUCACCUGCUUGAUUUACCGUUCUGUCCUUCUCAUCAAUACCAUUAGCAUUCAGCGACAAGUACAACUGUCAUUUUUCAAAAUGUAUUCACGCUUGUAUUAAAAAUCAGUCGUCUUCUACGGAACCCACUGCAUACACAGCAGAAUCAAUACUGUGCUUUUUACUGGCAUUGAAUAAAACUGCACUUCAGCUCAGAUUUAUUUUAAAUAUGUCAGAAAAAUAAGUAGACCACACAGACACUGGCUGACCACUUUCAGAAUAAUCAGAAUUCUUAACGGAGCAACGAUGUGCCAAGCCUGAAAUACUUAACUCAUAAUCUUAGUAGCGCGAUGAAAGGCCUAAUAAAACAAACAAACAAUCAGAACGAGCUUGACACAGAAAAAAAAAUACCUGCUCCCUGAAAUUCUCGAUGGGAUUAACAACACAAAACAAUGUCUUAUGGCUGACAAACGCGAUCAAAAGCAAGAGACUGCCAAGUACAAUAUGUCUUAUCCAUUACUCAUUACAGGGUCACGGCGAGCGACUCAAGUCUACAGGGCACACACUCACACUCAUUUAGGGGGCAAUUAGUCCCACAUUCGGCUGAUAUGCAUGUCUUUGUGAUAUGAAAAGAAAAUACAGGCAAACAUGGGUUCAGUCUGUAGCGGUGCUACUAGAGUGCGAAACUCCCAGCAGUCCCCGCAGUGGCUCUGAUUGGACUUCUGCUGAGGGUGCAGGGGCUGUUGGGGUCAAAAGAGGAGGUCAGUGCGGCCUUUAAAAAGGGGGCUAGUGACCAAAAGGAAAAAAAGGUAUUUUGUGUUUCAAGCUCCUGUCUGUCUGCAUUCUGUCGCGUUACCUGUGCUUAUUCAUUUGUCCUGUGGAUCGUUUCUUGGUCAGGGUCUGGAUUGUCUGCCUGAGGACUGUCUGGGGAUUUAUGGCCAUCCUGUGAAGAAAGGAGCGCUCCUGAUCCUGUCCACCCGUCUUCACCAUUUCAGGAACUAGCAGUAGGACUAUCUUUACAUUCCCAUUCAACAUGCUGCUCUCUGGACUAUCUAUUUUCAUCAUCACAUCAUCAUCUGUUGCCGUUUCCCGUGGACUUUACAGUGAAUGUUUAUUGUUGUGGUUUGUUUUCGUGUUUAUUGUAAAUCGCGGAAAAGGAACUGAGGUGGGAUUGUUGUUUUCAUUAUCAGUGUUAAUAUAUUCUUUAUUUGCUAUUUUA